rnacentral:tRNA from 1 species
AAGGGAGACCUAAUUCAGGUAUAAGACGAAAAAAAGUAGUCCCUACCAAGAAUCAAUCCCAAAAGGUCGGAACGAGGUAUGAGGCUUUCAAACUAGGUUCUGGGUUCAUAAAAGACCUGAAUCAGGAACAAGGGCUAUUAGCUCAGGUGGUUAGAGCGCACCCCUGAUAAGGGUGAGGUCCCUGGUUCGAGUCCAGGAUGGCCCACCUGCACAGGUGGCAAAAACAAGAGAAGCGAGGAAUCAGCACCUUAUCUUAUAUACAUAUAUAAGAGAGAAUGCUGGCUCUGAGUACAGAGUCCAGAGGAACCUUGGAAACUGCAUAGAGCUAGGUGAAAAAGCCAAAAAAGAAGACCGCAA